UUAUUUUUAUUAUUCCUUUGUUUUUGUGUCUAUAGCUUUUGCUUUUGGGUACAUUCUCACUUGCUGCAGCCUUGGAACUUUGGUAUUCUGCUAUCGCUGCUGUGCUUUCUCUUGUUGUGUUAUGGUGCUACAGUCCUCUAAAAUGAACUUCUCAGAGAGGAUGAACUGCAGACUUCCUCAAAUGACUGCAUACCAUGAUAAUCCAUGUUUACUUGUAGGCUUCUGUUCACGUGCAUGCUAUAUUGGUAAUUGCUUUGGGGAAUAUCCUUUUAGGUAGCGUGCUUAGGGAGAUGAUGGUCUGCAGAGGAUGUAUGCAAAUUUUGGAGGUCCACACUUAAAUUUCCAGUCUCGGUACUGAAUUCAUAAAUCAUGGCAAUCUGCAUGGAAUACUGAAAUACGUCUGUGGUUUGUCACCUCAACCUAGGAGCAACCAAAGGGGCAUUUCUAUAUUUCUAUUUGCUUUAUUCCUUGGAAUGGACCCUGAGUUUCAAAGCAUGUGGUCAGUGUGAAAGCAUAUUGGAAAAAUCCCCAUUUUCAGUUUCUAAGAGGCAAAUGAUAGCACUGUGGGGGCCCGAAGGAGGCAGGGAGGUUUUGAGAACCUGUUACUAGCAGAAUCUCUCUUCAUCUCAACACGAUGACCAGUUUCUGGAGCCUUUGUAUGUUUAAUUAAACAUUCUUUUUACGGAGAGAGUAUUUCGUUCAUAGUUUCUCAUAGCAGAGUUUCAUUAUACUGUGCUUUUCUGCUCUAUCUGUAGUAAUAGUAUUAGUGAUCAGCCCUAUUAGCAAGGUUUCAAAGAACAAUUGUGUCUCUAUAAAGCAUUGGUAUAACAGUUAAAAAUAAAACUUCCAGACUGAUUACAAAAUCAGCACCGCACUGAUGGCAAGAGAAGCUCGUUUUGCUGGAGCCUGAUUUUUUGCUGUGAAUCUGCCACCUUGGUUUUGGGGUUGGGAGGAUAUAAGGGCAUUGGACUCUGCUGAGGUAGCUCACAUUUUGAAAACAUGAAGUUUUUUUUUGUUUUUUUUUUUUUUGCCCCUGAAGUUCAGUUUGAUGUGAAUGAUAUUGUGGCUUCAUCCUCUGUUUCUUUAGGUUUGGUGCCAACCCCUGCUGUUGGGGCUUGGUGGCCAGGGCUGGUCUCACACACAGCUGAGUGCAGUCUUCUAUUCAGUGCCCAGAGCAUGAGCACUCCCAUUGAGGUCAACGAGGGUGCAAGGGGAAUGAAUGAGAGUCUUUGUAUUUUCUCUGUGUACAGGCAUUUUGUGACAAAGUGGGGCUUAUGGGUGGCGAUAGCAGAGGGAGAACCUUUUUGCCUUGUCUGCAGUCGAGGCCCUUAAGCUCUGCCAUAUGGACAGAAGGGAGAGGAAAGGAGGUUUGCUGAUGUGAAAUGGGGGAUAACUCACAACCACUGGCAGGAAUCUGGCAAUCCUCACUCUUGUUAGAAGCUCCACACGGCUUUUGGGAGUAGCUGCCAUGAGAGGCAGCACAUCCCCCUGGGAGCUCCUCCAUGCAGAGCUGCCUGGAGCUGUGAGCUGUGAUCCAGGAUUUCCACUCUGAGGAGCUGCAGGGGGUGGCUGCUGAUGCCAGACAGCUGUGUGGCUGCUGAUCCAGCUGCACUGCAUUUGGGGAGAAGAAAUUUAGGAGUCAGGGUGGGCUUUUAACAGCAUCGGUUGGGGCUGAGAUUCUCUGUGCACCUUCCAGCAUCGCUUUACUGGGUGGCUGCACCUCUGCUGAGCUGAAGCUGCUCCUUGGCCUGUUGACAGCUCUGGAAAUGGUCACUAAGAUGUUAAAUGCUGUGUUAGUGAGUAACCCAGUGCCAAAUUCACCAAAAUACGAAGAUCUUAGCUGCUCUGUGGAGCUGGUUUCCCAUGGCUUUGGAAGGGAAGUUAAGCAUCUAAACCGGAGUUUAGGUGUCCAAAUACCUUUGUCGAUCUUGGCUCAAAGUGAGUCACUUAGGCGGAUUUGAGUAUGAUAUCCAUAAUGUAUCACUUUGCUGCUUGUUUAAAUAUUUAUGGAGAAGGCUCGGGGCGAGGCAAGGGGAUGAUCAGGCUGACUGUAAAGUGAGAGAGGACAUCAGGCUCUGUCUGAUGUCACUGUAGAUGAGUCACUUCUCCAUAUUAAGGCUAAUCUUACAGUGGCUUAUGAGCCUUCGCAGUUUAAAAGGAACACUUUGAAAAUAUUUUUAAAGCCUUUAAAAUGUCUGGGCAAGUUCAGCAGACUGCUUUUUUUCUGCUCAUCCUUCUUCUAUUUUAAUUACUGUUCAGCAGGGAACUGGACAGGAAAGGUUAUCACCUGUUGGUCCUACCACCAGGAGCACGUGUUUGCUGAUGAGAACACCUGAAGGGGAGGAUUCAGGGUGUUAAUGCUGCUGGAAAUUCCUCCUUUGGGAUCCUGUGGUCCCUUUUCCUGAAUGUCUCCACAUUAUUUCAUCCCUAAUAAUUAAGCAUGCUUUCAGAGGCUGUUGCAGAUAGGUGAUCCUCCAAGCUUACUGCUCAAUCACUUUACCUUUCUUCCUUUGCUCCCAUCACUGCUCAGUCUGUACCACUUGCUGAUGCUGGAAGCGGGUUCCUCCAGGUGCAGCUGCCCUCUGUG